UUUUUUUUUUUUUUUGAUAAUUCCUUUUGUUUUUCUCUGAUGAAUUCCUUUCUUUCCUGAGCCUCUUUAGAAGAACACUUACAAGAUUGCCUCCAUAAAGCCUUAUUCCUGUCCCAGCAAAGGUGAAAUCCCUAAGGGCUCUGCCAUGCACUCCAGUCCCGUGACCCUUGCCUUUCAGGAGCCAUACAAGACUCGAAGCCACUCAAAACAGCAGGAAGGAUGGGCCUGCCCGCCUUUUGCACAGCUCCCUGUCUGCUGAGGAGGACCAGGGUCCCCUCCUCUACACCUGAUGAAAGAAGUCAGAGAUGUAGCCUGGUGGGGCAGGGCGAAAGGCAGAGGGCCUUCCCUGUACUUGUGGCAUAACUAGCCGCAGUUGCGGAAUAACCUGGCCCACUUGGCCCAGCGCUAAGCAAAACAUGCAUAGCUUGUAGAGGACCUCGUGACACUGCUUCUGAACACGCCUAAGGCAUGGGAACCAGCAACAGCACAUUUCUCACCUCAGCACCCAUCCUCAGCAGGUCAACUCGGGGGGAGGAGGGCCUGCCUCCUAGGAAUGGGACAUGAGGUCCCGACACUGGAGCUCCUGGGCAGAUCUAAAAGCACAGGACUGAGCAGCAGUGCCCUGCUGGACAGUGUGGCCUGGGCCCUACGACCUAACUGGGGGCCAGCACAGCUGAGUCACAAUCAGGCUGGGCAUCAGUCUACACUGCAGCACCUGAGUUAUUUGAAUCCAUGUGGUGAGAGGUGACUCCGAGAUGCCAUCUCAUGCUCAGCCUGUACCUCCUGUUUCUAUUCCUUCGUGAUCUCCAAAAAAGUGUUCUGACCUCACUCUGAAGAUACUGUCCCAUUUUGUCCUCCUACCUUCUCUCUGGAACUGGGGACUGAUGGCCACACCAAGCCCACUGAAAGUCUUGUGUAAAGCAAACCAGUGAUCAUUUUAAGUGAUAUAUCUGAGGGCCCCAAUUGUGCUAAAGCAUAGUCUGUACCUUUACAGUGCUUUAGAAUGUCUGUAUGUGUGUAUAAAUGUGUCAUACAUAUUUAUAUAUGUUGCUAUAGCAGUAUGUGUGUAAGCUAACAUAACUGGUGGACAGGGUCAGGGAGAGAAAAUGAAAACGUCUUGUU
rnacentral:lncRNA from 1 species